rnacentral:misc_RNA from 1 species
GUGAAUCAUCGAAUUUUUGGACGCAAAUUGCACUCCCUGGUAUUCCGGGGAGUAUGCCUGUUUGAGGGUCGUUAGAAUAAAAAAUCGAUGCGUCGCUCUUUUUUUGAGGGUGAUCGCGUCGGUAUUGAGCCGUCUUUCACAUUUUAAUUCCUGUCAAUGUGGCUUAAAAUUCAUCCAUCCGGUACGAUUAAAUCUUCUUUCAUAUCAAUUUUGAUUAAGAACGCGCGAUCACCUACC